UGUGCUUGCUACGGCCUGCACAUAUAACUAAAAUUGGAAUCGAAUACAGAGAAGAUUAGCAUUGCCCCUCGCGGAAGGAGACACGCAAAUCCGUGAAGCGUUCCAUAUUUUG
ensembl:snRNA U6 U6 spliceosomal RNA